AACGCUCCUUGCGCUCCUUGGUAUUCCGAGGAGCAUGCCUGUUUGAGUGUCUUGAUAUCAUCAACCCUCGCCGUUUUGUGCGGUUGCGGGUUGGAGCUGGGGGCUUGCUGCCGAAACGCGGCUCCCCUCAAAUGCCUCGGUUGGGCCUGUGGGUCGGACUCGAUUGGGCGUUGUACCAUCCUCGCUCUAAUGAGAUGUUCCCCUUCUGAGCCCUUCCACGACCUGCCGUUCGAGUGGCGGUCAAGCUAACUUUGAAAUUUGGCCUCAAAUCAGGUAGGACUACCCGCUGAACUUAA
rnacentral:misc_RNA from 1 species